UGGGGAAUUUUGGACAAUGGGCGAAAGCCUGAUUCAGCAAUGCCGCGUGUGUGAAGAAGGCCUUCGGGUUGUAAAGCACUUUUGUCCGGAAAGAAAUCCUUGGCUCUAAUACAGUCGGGGGAUGACGGUACCGGAAGAAUAAGCACCGGCUAACUACGUGCCAGCAGCCGCGGUAAUACGUAGGGUGCAAGCGUUAAUCGGAAUUACUGGGCGUAAAGCGUGCGCAGGCGGUUUGCUAAGACCGAUGUGAAAUCCCCGGGCUCAACCUGGGAACUGCAUUGGUGACUGGCAGGCUAGAGUAUGGCAGAGGGGGGUAGAAUUCCACGUGUAGCAGUGAAAUGCGUAGAGAUGUGGAGGAAUACCGAUGGCGAAGGCAGCCCCCUGGGCCAAUACUGACGCUCAUGCACGAAAGCGUGGGGAGCAAACAGGAUUCAGAUACCCUGGUAGUCCACGCCCUAAACGAUGUCAACUAGUUGUUGGGGAUUCAUUUCCUUAGUAACGUAGCUAACGCGUGAAGUUGACCGCCUGGGGAGUACGGUCGCAAGAUUAAAACUCAAAGGAAUUGACGGGGUCAUAGCUGUUUCCU
rnacentral:rRNA from 1 species